UGCAAGUCGAACGGCAGCGGGGGAAAGCUUGCUUUCCUGCCGGCGAGUGGCGAACGGGUGAGUAAUACAUCGGAACGUGCCCUGUAGUGGGGGAUAACUAGUCGAAAGAUUAGCUAAUACCGCAUACGACCUGAGGGUGAAAGUGGGGGACCGCAAGGCCUCAUGCUAUAGGAGCGGCCGAUGUCUGAUUAGCUAGUUGGUGGGGUAAAGGCCUACCAAGGCGACGAUCAGUAGCUGGUCUGAGAGGACGAUCAGCCACACUGGGACUGAGACACGGCCCAGACUCCUACGGGAGGCAGCAGUGGGGAAUUUUGGACAAUGGGCGAAAGCCUGAUCCAGCAAUGCCGCGUGUGUGAAGAAGGCCUUCGGGUUGUAAAGCACUUUUGUCCGGAAAGAAAUGGCUCUGGUUAAUACCCGGAGUUGAUGACGGUACCGGAAGAAUAAGGACCGGCUAACUACGUGCCAGCAGCCGCGGUAAUACGUAGGGUCCAAGCGUUAAUCGGAAUUACUGGGCGUAAAGCGUGCGCAGGCGGUUGUGCAAGACCGAUGUGAAAUCCCCGGGCUUAACCUGGGAAUUGCAUUGGUGACUGCACGGCUAGAGUGUGUCAGAGGGAGGUAGAAUUCCACGUGUAGCAGUGAAAUGCGUAGAGAUGUGGAGGAAUACCGAUGGCGAAGGCAGCCUCCUGGGAUAACACUGACGCUCAUGCACGAAAGCGUGGGGAGCAAACAGGAUUAGAUACCCUGGUAGUCCACGCCCUAAACGAUGUCAACUAGUUGUUGGGGAUUCAUUUCCUUAGUAACGUAGCUAACGCGUGAAGUUGACCGCCUGGGGAGUACGGUCGCAAGAUUAAAACUCAAAGGAAUUGACGGGGACCCGCAC
rnacentral:rRNA from 1 species